GUCACACCCUAGCUAGUCCAUGCAUUAGAGUGUGCAUCAUGUUUACUUUCAUCAGAAACUUGAAAUGGGGAAGGCAGAACCCCCAGCACCCCCCCUGAAAAUCAACUAGGGUUUACUAAAAAUAAUUUCAAUGAACCUGAAAUGCCCUUCUAAAAUGUUCACCCUCUUUGCCUUGGGUUAGAACCCUUGGAAAAAUAGGUGCACAUUUUUCUAGGACAAUAGAAGGUCACUUAUUUAAUUCAUAAAUAUUUGAAUUUGAGCAUUUAAAUGCUAUUAAAUAAUUCAAGUGCUCAAAUAAUUCUGGAAAUAAUUGUUUGCUGUUAGGAAUAAUCCCAAUAGAGCCCACAAUUAUUUUCAGGAUUUUAGAAAGUGCCUAGGUAUUUUAAUUAAAGCCCUAAAGCUACAGAAUAACAGAAAAAGAAAACAAAAAUCAAAAAAGGGGGGAAAGAAGCCCACCUGGGCCUUACCUGGCUCGGCCCAGCCGACUGGCCAGCGCCAGUCACCCCCUACCUCGUGCCAGGAGGCAGGGGCGUGUGCUCGCCGUGCGCCGGCCACGCGCCGGCCACCUCCUGCUUCUGCCGACACCGGGAGGCGCCUAGAGACGCCACGAGACCCCCUCGAUCCUCUCCCGUCUUCUCUCACUCUCCCCCUCGUCUCCCUCAUCCUCUCCCACGAUGGCCGAGCGCGCCCCUCGCCGCCGAUCGCCGUAGCCGUCGCCAGAGACCUCCCCUUGCCCCUCCGACGAGUCCAUAAGCUUCGCCUCGGCUCCCUCGUCCUCCCCACCGAGCCACGCUUCGCCGGAAGCCCUGUAACGCCACCUUCGCCCUCGUCUUCAACCUCGGGCAUCCGAGAUCGCCGGCGACCUCACCUCUUCUCCAGCCUGUCCCCGAGCCCGCUGAGGCCACCGCUGCACUCCCCGUGAGCCUCUCUCUCGAUCCCCACCUUCCCCUUGCUCAUUUGCACCCUGUAGCUCCGAUUUCCACCGCGGCCGAAGCUCGCCGGCGCCGUGCCUCGUCGCCGUCGUGGCCAGGGCCACCAUGGCUUGAAGCCAGGCACACCACCGUGAUCAGCGCAGCCCCAGGGACCCGUAGCCACCACCAGUUCUUCCUCCCGUGCACCGUAGCCUCGAAUCCGACCUCGCCCGAACUCCGGCGACCGCCAAGCUCGUCGCCGGCGUUGUUUCCGGCCACCCCGAGCCCAACUACCACCAGCAAACGAUGCGGCUCGCUCCCCGCAUCGCGUAGCACAUCUCCGCCCCCGUUUUGGUCGCCUGAGGGCGUUUUCCGAAGCCCUCCGUCGUCUCAGGCCUCGCCGGCAGCUCAACACCGGCGAGUUGACCCAGUUUGACCCCUGGGUGGGCCCAGGUAGACCCCCCUGAGUCUAUGAUAGGUGGGGCCGGUCUGUUAACUAAAUUAGGAUUAGUUUUAAUUAAAUCUUAAUUAAUCAGUCACUGACUAGUGGGCCCUGCCCAGUAAUUAGGCUAAUUAAACGUAGUUAGUGCACUGAGAGGCUGACAGAAGGGCCCCACCAGUCAGGUUUGACUUGGGCUGGCGCCUUUGACCUGCUGACAUCACCCUGACGCAUUGCUGAUGCAGUAAUUGAUUUUCUGGCUUUAUUCUUAUUCAGGAAAUUCCAGAAAAUAGUUCAAACUUCAAAAAUUCAUAGAAAUUCAACCAUAACUCCAAAUGAGAUAAAUUAUAUAUGAAAAAUUAUCAGAAAAAUUCAAUCUAUCCAUCUGUAAUGGUUUCAUGCAUGACAAAAUAAGUUUACCUUGCUGUUAAGCAGAAUAAGGAAAUGCCCUAUAAAUACCAUAUUUAAUGAGCUAAUAUUUGAAUCUUGGAUUCAAAUGAGUUCAUCCCUUUCUGUUUUAGCUUGCAUUAGGCCAAAACACAUUCAUAUUGCCAUGUCAUAGCAUGCAUCAUAUUGUUGCAUAUCGUAAUGUGUUGAUUGUGCUCGGUUGUGUUCUUCGUGGUAGGUUCUGCCUCCGAGGAUAUUCACGAGUAUCCAACUGAAGGGCAGUAUCCCACUACCACUCCAUCAGGCAAGCAACCAUUGAUCAUUCCGAUACAAACCCAUGUUCUCGCCUCUGCUCUUGUUUACUGCAUUAAGACAACGCGAUUCAAACUGCUGUGUGCUACGGUAGUUGAACCCUUAUCCUAUGCAUGACCUGUCAUUGCCACAGUAACUAGAUGAAACCCACUAGCAUGUGUAGGAGUUGUUUGAGCCAUGUUUUGUGAUUCCUACAUUGCUAUGCCUGCUAUGCUUAGAGUUGUGUCAGGUCUGGUUCAUCUGGGUGAUGGGCUAGAGUGAAAUGCUUAUGUUGGUAAUAUGAGGGAUGUGUUGAGCAUGUUUUGGUAAAGGUAUCGAUGAGAGGCCAUGUAGGAGUACAUGGUGGGUUGUUUCAUUGAGGCCGUCCCUAAGAACUGAGAUCUGUAUGUGUGAUUUAAGAUUUAGCUACUACCGUGCAUUGGGAUCCUUAAUUGACCCUCUCGGCUUCUUAGCCACCCUAGUACUCUGUCCAGGAGUUGCAAUUAGUUUCUGGUGUUUGUAGGAUAUGUGUUGGCGGCCGUGCGUAGCGCUGACCCUAGGGGUGGGCUAUGUUGCGGUAGAUACACCAUGGCACGGUGUACCGAGUCACCCGUUUGGUGUCUCGGGAACCCUGUUCACAUCGUUCGGGGCCGUAAGUGGAAACCUCGGCCGGACUCCCUGCGGAUGGAACCUGGAUAGGCGAUAAACCUGGACUAGAGACUUAGGUGUUUAGGUAGGCCGUGGCCGACACCCUCGCUGGGCUUCCGCUUGAAGGUUGCCGAAUACAUGUCGUGUAGACGGCGGUAAGCGAUGGAAGCGUGUAAGACGAAGUACACCCCUGCAGGGUAUAAAACUAUUCGAAUAGCCGCGUCCGUGGUAAAGGACUACUUGGUUGCCUAUACAGUUCAUAGACAAGUUAAUGGAUACUACUAAAAGACUCAAGAUAAGUGUGAGUACCGAGGAUGGCCCUCUCGCAGGAUAACGAGGGAGGAUCCCCGGUGGAGUAUUGUGUUGGUGAGUAGUGGACUCGUGUGCGAAAACUAUUUUACUAGAGAGGUUCCGUAGGAUAGCUUAGCCAAGAGUCAAAGCUGGUUACUGCAUAACCCCACCACCUUCCUGAGAAUGAGCAUGUAUAGUAGGUUCUGAUGUAAGACUUGCUGAGUACCUUUGUACUCAUGUUUGCUUAUUUAUUGUUUUCAGACGACAACACUGCCCCCUCCGAUGGAUUUUAUGUAGACCUUGACGUCGAUGAGUGACUAGCCACCUAGGUGGUGAUCUCGGCCAUGGAGGGCCCUAUGUAGAGAGACAGGCUUUGGGACGCCUUCUUUCUUUUUAGAGUCUGUACUCAGACUAGUUUCUUCUGCAUGUGCCUGUAUGAUUGUAUGACUUGAGUGUCGGGUCAUGUGACCCCUAUCUGUAUGAACAUGUUAUGUAUGGCUCCCUGGAGCCUUUAAAUAAAGUACUUGAGUUGUAGAGUUUUGUUGUGAUGCCAUGUUGUAUGUACUCAUAUCGGGCAUCUUGUGUGUAUGAUUGAAAUGCUUGGUAUGAGUGGGAUCCGACAAUCUAGUUGUUUAUCCUUCACAGCCUUUCUUAUGGGGAAAUGUAGUCUAGUGUUCCUCGAGCCAUAGUAGUCCGCUACAGCCCGGUUCACCGGAGUCCUGCUAGCCCAGCACUACUGUUCAGGACACUUGACUGGCCGGCAUGUGUUUCACUUCGUCCCUAUGUCUGUCCCUUCGGGGAAAUGUCACGCGGUGACUUCCGGAGUCCUGCCUAGCCUGCUACAGCCCGGAACCCCCGGAGUCCUGUUAGCCCAGUGCUACAGCCUGGAAUCACUCGUUGAUGACCGACAUGUUCGAUGUGAUUCAUGUAUGCCUGUCUCCAUAGGUCUAUGCCGCUUUGGGUUCACGACUAGCCAUGUCGGCCCGGGUUCUGGGUCAUAUGGAUGCUAGCGACAUUGUCAUAUACAUGAGCCAAAAGGCGCAAACGGUCCCGGGCCAUGGUAAGGCGACACCGUGGGAUACCGUGCGUGAGGCCGCAAAGUGAUAUGAGGUGUUACCGGCUAGAUCAAUGUGGCUUGGAAUCGGGGUCCUGACAGCGUUGGCAUCAGAGCCGGACUGCCUGUAGGUUCGUUGAGCCAAACUGGUCGAUGUUGAGUCUAGAAAUGCUUUAGUUAUAUGUAAGGGAAUUGAUUGUGGAAGGGAACGUAAGGUUCUUUUACUCCUUUACCCUAUGCCUCUGAUCUGAGUCAUUCUCUUCUCAUUCAACGUGGGUUAAGGACUAGGCUCUCUUCUUCUAUCAGGUUCUCGUGUUACUAAUCCGUAGUAGCUUAUAAGAUUAUUGCUACGAGUCCCAAUCCAAUUUCUACUAUUUUAGUAUGUUACUAUUUGAAUCAGAACCUUGAUAUGAUGUUGUUGAGCGGUAUUGUGAACUGUUGUGGAUGUCUCAAAUCUUUUUCUGAGCAUUUACAGCCGUUUUGCUGUCCAAUUUUCCCUAGGAAUUCUGAUGUUUCUUUUUUCUUGUGGUUGUGCUUUCAGAUGGCCAACCGUCCUCAAAACCAAGUGGUUCGCCUGACCAGGUGCCUCGACGUGCCCGGUCAUACUGCUAUGUUAGUCCGGGUCACGAUCGAGACAGGAUACCGUUGGUAUCCCGAAUACACUGUCGAAGAGAAGUUCCGCGACUUUAAUCAAAGCCAGUAUUUCUGCACCGUCAGGAUAUUUCCUUCCUAUCCUGGAUCUACCGAGCCCCUUCACUAUUCCUAUGGACUCGGGGUUACCGUUGAGAUGGCUGUGCAGGAUGCUGCCUACUCCAUGAUGACCAUCUUGCGAGUCCGGACUGGCCUGCUUCGGAACACUGACUUCCGUUACAUGCCAGCUUCACUUCCGGGAGCGCAAGGGUAUCUUCAGGCUAUCUAUGCUGACUCCACUCAGGAGGACUCAUUAACUCGUACCACCGCUGAGAUGCUCGAAGAUAAGGACCGAGAGAAUCGGGCCUUGAGGCUGGAGCUUUUUAAUACUCGUGCUGAUCAUUGGGCCACAUCGAAUCGGUUUGCACCCGCGGUGCAAGCUGGAUGUAUGGAUACAAGGGAUCUGUAUCCUGUGAGAUCAGCUCUACUAGACAUGGUGGAUUGGCGUGAUGUGGGAGGCAUCACCCCACCCCGUGGUCCCCGCAGGCCACCGUUUGUUGGUCCAAGACCUCAUCCUAGCCCCUAUGGUCCACAGACUCCUCAGGACCGUCUGUUUCCGGAUGAUCACGUUGAACUUCCAGGCUAUGGAGGUGACUUCUAUGAGGACUACUACGGAGCUGUCUGAGUUAGUAGUAGUACCACUAGUAUUGUAGUAGUUGUAUCUCCACUGUCCUGCGUGACUUAUGGAAUAUGACUUUGCGUGUAAUCGAUUCCGGAGGUGUAGACAAAUAAUGUAUAGGAACUUGGAAUGCCUCCGAUGAGAUGUAACGUCUCUCAUCAUAGUUGUACUGUAGCCUAGGCUUGUACUAAACUAUGUAUGAUGUGGAUGACUGUUGGUAUGUAUGUGGCAGUUUUAUAUUACCAUGACAUACGGAUGGGCAUCUCUGCAUUCCGUGUUAUCCAUUACAUUCUGCACUUCCUUGCUAAGUUUGAGCCAUCCUUGUCUAAACCGUUGUCUUGUUUUCUCCUAGGAUGGUCAACACCCGCGACAACCCUGCUGUCCCGGAGCAGGGGGAAGCCAGUGCAGCUAGAGGUGAAAAUCUGCCUCACCCGCCUUCUCUGGCCGAAGUGAUGUUGGAGGCGGAAAGAAACAAGCGUGAGACCAACCGCCUGCUGGAGCGGAUUGAGCAGAACACUGCACGCCACCCACGAAAUGACUUGGUGUCAAUCAAUGACUUUAUCAAGCUGUACCCACCAAAGUUUAACCAUUCCGUCGAGCCCCUCGACGCGGAUGAUUGGCUUCGCAGCAUCACCCACAAGCUACGUUCUGCCAACGUAGCCGAAGCCGACAAGGUUACCUAUGCUGCCUAUCAUCUCGAAGGCCCCGCUAGCCAUUGGUGGGAAAACUACGAAGCUAUGCGCCCGGUCGGUCAAAUCACUACCUGGGCUGAGUUCAGUGAGGCUUUCCGUGAGCAUCACAUUCCGGAAGGUCUCAUGGAUCGCAAGAGGGAGGAGUUCUACAACUUCACCCAAGGAAGGCUGACUGUGGAUGCAUAUAGUUGUGAAUUUGGGAACCUGACACGCUAUGCUCCUGAAGAAGUUUCUACUGACGCCAAGAAGCAGGCAAGGUUCCGCAAGGGACUUAGCCCUGAGCUUCGCCGCGAUCUCCGUCUGCAUGAGUGCACAUCCUUUCAGAAGUUGGUUAAUAAAGCUAUCAGUGCUGAGACAGGCCAGACUGAUUAUGACGCUUCACGCAAGCACUCCCAUGAUUUUGGGUCUUCAUCCGGCUCUGGAGCUCAGAAGCGCCGGGUGUGGAUUCCAAGCACGGCACUGCCACCCAGAUUCAUCCCGAGGCCGUCCUUUGAGGCGCCUCGUCCCAACCAGCAAUUCGCACCGCCCAAGCCCUAUGGUGGCCCCGCUGCUAAUGCUGCUCCACGCCCCACUGUGGUAACAUGCUUCAAGUGUGGAGAGCCGGGUCACUAUAGUCGAGAGUGUCCCCAGAACAACCCCAAUCAAGCUGGAAAGUCCGUUGGCCGUGGUAAGCCCGCGGGAAAGACUUUCUACGCCAAGCCGGCCACCACUGCACGUGGCCAUGUCAAUUAUGUUUCAGCCGAGGAGGCUCAUGAGGAUCCCAACGUCGUCCUUGGUACGCUCCUUGUUAACUGCCAUCCGGCAUCUGUUCUUUUCGAUACUGGAGCAUCUCAUUCAUUCAUAUCCGAGAAUUAUGCUCGGUUGCAUAACAGGACAUUCUGUGACAUGCCCACUUCCAUGGUAAUUCAAACUCCGGGUUCCAAAUGGCAAACUUCUAGGGUAAGCCAUGGGAACGAAAUUCUUGUCGAUAGACUUGUCUUCCUUGCAUCUUUAAUAGCUCUCAAGUCCUCUGACAUAAACAUCAUCUUGGGUAUGGACUGGAUGUCAUCUCAUUAUGCCAAGAUCGAUUGUGCCACUAGAACUGUUCAACUCACUCACCCCUCGGGCAAGACAGUUAAUGUCUUAACUCGAGUGGCCAAGCGCCAACUUUACUCCCUAAAUGCCAACCCUCUUCCAGCCCUUGAGGACGUUCCGGUAGUCCGAGACUUUCCGGAUGUGUUUCCAGAAGAACUGCCAGGUGUUCCACCUGACAGGGAUGUCGAGUUUGUGAUAGACCUUGUUCCAGGAACCGUUCCAAUUUCUAGAAGACCCUACAAGAUGGCACCCUUAGAACUAGCCGAGCUUAAGAACCAACUUGAUGAGUCCCUGAACAAGGGGUUCAUCUGUCCUAGUUCCUCUCCUUGGGCUUGCCCCGUCCUCUUCGUCAAGAAGAAGGAUGGAACAGAUCGAAUGGUCAUAGAUUACCGACCCGUCAACUUGGUCACCAUCAAGAACAAAUACCCGCUUCCCAGGAUCAACGACCUGUAUGAUCAGCUCGCUGGAUCCUCAGUCUUCUCCAAGAUGGAUUUGAGGUUGGGCUACCACCAAAUCAAAAUCAGAAACGGGGACAUUCCCAAAACGGCCUUUGUUACUCGUUAUGGCCAAUACGAGUACACCAUUAUGUCCUUCGGUUUAACCAAUGCCCCGGCCACCUUCUCCCGGUUAAUGAACUCGGUUUUCAUGGAGUACUUGGACAAAUUCGUCGUAGUAUACCUCGAUGAUAUACUCAUCUACUCCAAGAAUGAAGAGGAACAUGCCGAACAUCUAAGGCUGGUAUUGAUGAAACUUCGAGAGCAUCGCCUUUAUGCCAAAUUCUCCAAGUGUGAAUUUUGGUUGUCAGAAGUGACCUAUCUAGGCCAUGUAAUCUCUGGUAAGGGUAUUGCUGUCAAUCCCGAGCGAGUUCAAGCCGUCCUUGAUUGGACUCCACCUGAAACAGUCAAGCAAGUUCGGAGUUUCCUUGGCCUAGCGAGCUAUUGCCGCCGCUUCGUCGAGAACUUCUCCAAGGUUGCUAAACCUCUAACUGAACUCCUCAAGAAAGAUAAAAAGUUCAAGUGGACUCCACAGUGCGAGUUCAGUUUUCAGGAACUGAAAAGACGCCUGACAUCUGCUCCCGUACUGGUACCACCAGAUUUCUCCAAGGACUUUAUUAUCUAUUGCGAUGACUCGCGACAAGGACUAGGUUGCAUACUCAUGCAAGAUCGUCAGGUAAUUGCCUAUGCCUCACGGCAAUUACACCCACAUGAGGAAAAUUAUCCCACACAUGAUCUAGAGCUUGCAGCCGUAGUCCAUGCACUUAAAACCUGGCGACAUUACCAUCUCGGUAAUCGUUGCGAGAUCUUCACCGAUCACCAAAGUUUGAAAUAUAUCUUCACCCAACCAGAUUUGAAUCUCAGGCAAAGACGUUGGGUCGAGUUGAUCUCGGAUUAGGACUUAGGAAUAACUUACACCCCUGAUGCACUAAGUCGUAAGUCCUAUUGUAACAAUCUGAUGUUACAACAAAGUCAACCACUUCUCCAUGAGGAAUUUCGUAAGCUAAAUCUUCACAUUAUUCCUCAAGGAUUCCUUUCCACCCUGGUGGCGAAACCUACCCUUAUGGAUCAAAUCAUAACCGCUCAGCGGUAUGACAAGGGCAUAUCCCGGAUUAAGGAAAACAUCCUUAGCGGAGUUGCUAAAUGUUUCUCCAUGGAUGAGCAAGGUGCUGUCUUCUUCGAGAACCGUCUGGCGGUUCCCAAGAAACAACAUCUACGCCUGAUGAUCCUUAAGGAAGCUCAUGAAUCCCCUCUCACCAUUCAUCCCGGUAGUACUAAAAUGUAUCAAGACCUACGCCAGAGGUUUUGGUCAUUGUUGAGGAAAUCGUUAACUGGUAGCUGCUCGGUCGGCUGGUGAGUAGGGGAUUAAUAGGCUAAUCGGCAAGUUAAUCGGCCAUUUAAUCAAUUAAUCGGACGAUUUAUCGGGUAAUCGGCUACUCGGGGACCCUAUGAGUAGGGAUUAAUCGGCAAGUUAACUUGUUAAUCGGAUGAAUUCUUGAACAGGGGUUUUGGUGGACUAGGAUGAAGAGAGAAAUCGCUCAAUACAUUGCUAAUUGCGACGUUUGUCGUCGUGUUAAAGCAGAGCAUCAACGGCCUGCUGGCACCCUUCAACCUUUGGCUAUUCCUGAAUGGAAAUGGGAUAAAAUGAGUAUGGAUUUCAUCACUGGGUUUCCUAGGACCAAGAGAGGGAAUAAUGCCAUCUUCGUUGUGAUCGACCGACUUUCCAAAGUAGCCCACUUUCUACCUGUUCGUGAGAGUAUCACCGCUAGCCAGCUAGCUGACUUAUACAUCUCCCGAAUAGUGUCUCUUCAUGGUGUCCCAUUGGAAAUUAACUCAGACCGUGGGAGUCUCUUCACCUCUCGAUUUUGGGAAAGUUUCCAAAAUGCUAUGGGAACUCAUCUCUCCUUUAGCACCGCCUUCCAUCCUCAAUCAAGUGGUCAAGUAGAGCGAGUCAAUCAAAUUCUGGAAGAUAUGCUCCGAGCUUCUGUUAUCUCGUUCGGAAUGAGUUGGGAGAAAUGCCUUCCAUUCGCGGAGUUUGCUUAUAACAAUAGUUAUCAAGCUAGUUUGGGCAAAGCUCCCUUCGAAGUUCUCUAUGGACAAAAAUGUCGAACGCCUCUUAACUGGUCAGAAACCGGGGAAAGACAACUCUUUGGCCCGGAUAUGAUUCAGGAAGCAGAAGAGCAGGUUCGCGUUAUUCGUGAGAAAUUGAAAACAGCCCAAUCUCGCCAAAAGAGUCAAUAUGAUCGUAAACAUAAGCCUAUGACCUUUGAAGUUGACGAGAAGGCUUACCUUCGGGUUACCCCGUUAAAGGGAACCCACCGCUUCGGUAUCAAAGGCAAAUUGGCUCCUCGUUACACUGGACCCUUUCGCAUUCUUGCCAAACGAGGAGAAGUUGCCUACCAAUUGGAACUACCUCCGCAUCUUUCCAGAGUUCAUGAUGUCUUCCACGUUUCGCAACUCAGGCGUUGCUUCGCGGAUCCUAUCCGUGGAGUGGACCAUGAAACGCUUGAUUUACAAGAUAACCUUUCUUAUCGGGAAUACCCCGUUCGUAUCCUUGAUCAAGCCGAGCGUACCACUCGACGUCAUAAUAUCAAGUUUCUCAAGGUUCAAUGGUCACACCAUUCCGAGGAAGAAGCCACUUGGGAAAGGGAGGAUCGUCUUCGACUCGAGUACCCCACCUUCUUUCCAGAUGAUCCUAAAUCUCGGGACGAGAUUCUAUUGAGUGGGGGUGAGUUGUCACACCCUAGCUAGUCCAUGCAUUAGAGUGUGCAUCAUGUUUACUUUCAUCAGAAACUUGAAAUGGGGAAGGCAGAACCCCUAGCACCCCCCCUGAAAAUCAACUAGGGUUUACUAAAAAUAAUUUCAAUGAACCUGAAAUGCCCUUCUAAAAUGUUCACCCUCUUUGCCUUGGGUUAGAACCCUUGGGAAAAUAGGUGCACAUUUUUCUAGGACAAUAGAAGGUCACUGAUUUAAUUCAAAAAUAUUUGAAUUUGGGCAUUUAAAUGCUAUUAAAUAAUUCAAGUGCUCAAAUAAUUCUGGAAAUAAUUGUUUGUUGUUAGGAAUAAUCCCAAUAGAGCCCACAAUUAUUUUCAGGAUUUUAGAAAGUGCCUAGGUAUUUUAAUUAAAGCCCUAAAGCUACAGAAUAACAGAAAAAGAAAACAAAAAUCAAAAAAGGGGGAAAGAAGCC
rnacentral:lncRNA from 1 species